GACGAACGCUGGCGGCGUGCUUAACACAUGCAAGUCGAACGAAGAGCGAUGGAAGCUUGCUUCUAUCACUCUUAGUGGCGCACGGGUGAGUAACGCGUAAUCAACCUGCCCUUCAGAGGGGGACAACAGUUGGAAACGACUGCUAAUACCGCAUACGAUCUAAUCUCGGCAUCGAGGAUAGAUGAACGGUGGCCUCUACAUGUAAGCUAUCACUGAAGGAGGGGAUUGCGUCUGAUUAGCUAGUUGGAGGGGUAACGGCCCACCAAGGCGAUGAUCAGUAGCCGGUCUGAGAGGAUGAACGGCCACAUUGGGACUGAGACACGGCCCAGACUCCUACGGGAGGCAGCAGUGGGGAAUCUUCCGCAAUGGACGAAAGUCUGACGGAGCAACGCCGCGUGAGUGAUGACGGCCUUCGGGUUGUAAAGCUCUGUUAAUCGGGACGAAAGGCCUUCUUGCGAAUAGUGAGAAGGAUUGACGGUACCGGAAUAGAAAGCCACGGCUAACUACGU
rnacentral:rRNA from 1 species